UGGGGAAUUUUCCGCAAUGGGCGAAAGCCUGACGGAGCAAGACCGCGUGAGGGAGGAAGGCUCUUGGGUUGUAAACCUCUUUUCUCUGGGAAGAAGAUCUGACGGUACCAGAGGAAUCAGCAUCGGCUAACUCCGUGCCAGCAGCCGCGGUAAUACGGAGGAUGCAAGCGUUAUCCGGAAUUAUUGGGCGUAAAGCGUCCGUAGGUGGCGGUUCAAGUCUGCCGUUAAAACCAGUAGCUUAACUACUGACAGGCGGUGGAAACUGAACAGCUAGAGUGUGGUAGGGGUAGAGGGAAUUCCCAGUGUAGCGGUGAAAUGCGUAGAGAUUGGGAAGAACACCGGUGGUGAAAGCGCUCUGCUGGACCACAACUGACACUCACAGGACGAAAGCUAGGGGAGCGAAAGGGAUUAGAUACCCCUGUAGUCCUAGCCGUAAACGAUGGAUACUAGGUGUUGUGAGUAUCGACCCUCACAGUGCCGGAGCCAACGCGUUAAGUAUCCCGCCUGGGGAGUACGCACGCAAGUGUG
rnacentral:rRNA from 1 species